rnacentral:tRNA from 1 species
GGCACUAUGGCCGAGUGGUUAAGGCGACAGACUUGAAAUCUGUUGGGCUCCGCCCGCGCUGGUUCAAAUCCUGCUGGUGUCG